AGCUCCCACUCAGAGCAGUGGGAGGAGACUCACACUGUGAACUCUUGCUCCAAGAACUACUGCAGGAAUAUACCAGGAAAGCUGAGCAAAUCCACAGACCCUUUGAAGGAAGUGGAUUGCUCCUGCAGGACCCAGAAGACAGCCCAAAUACUAUGGAGUUUCGCUGUUGUUACCCAGACUGGAGUGCAAUGGCACUAUCUCGGCUCACUGCAAACUCCACCUCCUGGGUUCAAGAGAUUCUCCUUCCUCAGCCUCCCGAGUAGCUGGGACUACAGGCGUGCACCACCAUGCCCAGCUAAUUGUUGUAUUUUCAGUAGAGACGGGGUUUCAUAUUGUUGACCAGGAUGGUCUCGAUCUCUUGACCUCGUGAUCCACCCGCCUCGGCCUCCCAAAGUGCUGGGAUUAUAGGCGUGAGCCACAGCGCCCGGCCUCUUGCUAAUUUCUAAACAUCAUCACACUAUGAAAUAAGGUGAAGAAAAAAAAAAACACCCUAUUCAAUUUAAUCAAUAACAAAAUGAUGAGUUCAUUUUCUUUUUUUUUUUUUUUAUUGCAUUUUAGGUUUUGGGGUACAUGGGCAGAGCAUGCAAUACAGUUGCAUAGGUACACA